GACGUAGGAUGCGAGCGUUGUCCGGAUUUAUUGGGCGUAAAGAGUUCGUAGGCGGUUCGUUAAGUCUGAUGUUAAAGACUGGGGCUCAACCCUGGGAGUGCAUUGGAUACUGGCGGACUCGAGUGCAGUAGAGGCAAGCGGAAUUCCCAGUGUAGCGGUGAAAUGCGUAGAUAUCAGGAGGAACACCAACGGCGAAGGCAGCUCGCUGGGACGGUACUGACGCUAAGGCGCGAAAGCGUGGGGAGCGAACAGG
rnacentral:rRNA from 1 species